rnacentral:rRNA from 1 species
GAUGAACGCUGGCGGCGUGCUUAACACAUGCAAGUCGAACGGAAAGGCCCUGCUUUUGUGGGGUGCUCGAGUGGCGAACGGGUGAGUAACACGUGAGUAACCUGCCCUUGACUUUGGGAUAACUCCAGGAAACUGGGGCUAAUACCGGAUAGGAGCUCCUGCUGCAUGGUGGGGGUUGGAAAGUUUCGGCGGUUUGGGAUAGGCUCGCGGCUUAUCCGCUUGUUGGUGGGGUAGUGGCUUACCAAGGGUUUGACGGGUAGCCGGCCUGAGAGGGUGACCGGCGACAUGGGGACUGAGAGACGGCCCAGAAGGCUACGGGAGGCAGCAGUGGAGAGUAUUGCACAGUGGGCGGAAGCCUGAUGCAGCAGCGCCGCGUGCGGGAUGACGGCCUUCGGGUUGUAAACCGCUUUCGCCUGUGACGAAGCGUGAGUGACGGUAAUGGGUAAAGAAGCACCGGCUAACUACGUG